AAAAUAAUAAUAAACGUCGUAAAAACUUCGCUUCACUGAGUGUGUACGAAAUAAAGGAAAUUGCUUUUAUGACUUCUGUGACGUUGGUAGUGUUGUUGUCACUGCUGGUGUUAUGUCGACUGUCGUGCGGAUUAAAAACGGAGGCAGCAAUUGCGCGACACAGCAGCAAGUAAUGCUAUAAAUUGCGACACACGCACAGAAUACGACGAAAAUGUGCGGCUUAAAAAGCCUUGUGAAGGGCAGGUAAUGUAAGGUAACUUAACGGCAACGUUGCAAAUAUACAUAGUUGAUAAAAUCGGAUUGCACUUGGAUUAACUUGGAGGCAGUCAGUCACUUUAAGUUAAGUCGCUCAGUCAUCUAGUUUAGUAAAGUUAACGGAAUGGAGUGGCAUAAAUAGCGAGUGAAAGUGUUAUGUGUCUCCAGCGGCAGCGUAUCAGCACAUUAAGCACGCAUGCGAUUGCAAUGUUGACAGACGUCAAAAUGGAAGGAUGGAGUUUAUGGUAAAAUUACAUGUUUUGUAAUUUCAUAAUCAUAAACUGCACUCCGUUCAAGGUCAUUAUCAAGUUUGAAAGUACUGGAGUUUGACAACCAAUCGAGAUACGAAAAGUGUUAAUUCUCGUUAACGUUCUGUUGAUGUGGCUGAAAUUUCGAAGAGAGUACAACUUGUUGGCAAAGGACAACAUUUUACUGUCAACAACUGAUGAGAUUGAAGCAAGCAAUCGAAAAAAAAGCGCCAG